UACGCGAACAAAUAGCAGAGGGGCAGCGGGGCCAGAACGGCUUGUGUAACUGCAAACUUGUCAGAAAGUUUAAACUCUCUCCUCCUUCUACUUCAGACACUGUGCGCUCUCCCGGACCGUCGUGCGCCGCUCCCCGUCGCCUUCCAGGACUGGGAAAGGGGAGAGGAGGACGGUGCCACGUCCGACGGCCUCCUGGGCUGGGGGCAGGGUCUGCCGCUCGCCCUUGGCACCAGUCCCUGCGACCCAUCCCCGAGCCUCGCCCUCCUCCUCCCUGCUCGAAGAGGUCUCCCUCCUUCGCGGGAUCUGAGUCCCUGUCUUCAUUUUUCUCCUAGCCACGUCCCUCCCCGAGAAGGGACGAGCCGGGAGCAUCAUGCGUUUCGCCUGGACCGUGCUCUUUCUGGGACAGCUGCAGUUCUGUCCCCUUCUCCGCUGCGCCCCGCAGGCCCCGCGCGAGCCUCCCGCCGCCCCCGGUGCCUGGCGCCAGACAAUCCAAUGGGAGAACAACGGGCAGG
rnacentral:lncRNA from 1 species